CAGCGCAGCCUCCCCUCCCGGUCAAUGGACGCCCGCCGCACUCGGUCCCUGUGAGGGGAAUGGGCUCAGACCGGCUCAGCUGCCAGCUCCCCAGUUCUCUGAGAGUGUCCCUGUCCCCACACCGUGGGCUGCUGCCCUCAGCCACCAUCGCAACGCCCGGGAAGACAUCAGUCCACAGCCAGCAAAGCAAGCAAGGAGGGUAAAAUCCCCAGUGCUGCCUCUGUGAUCGGAAGCUACCUGCCUAUGAAAUCCAUUAAAAACAUCUUGCAAAUUAACAAAA